GACAAAAACAAAAACAAAAACAAAAACAAUAGUGCAUUAGUAACUCCAGCAGAAAUAGCGUAAAUAGCGUAAAUAAUUCUCUAAACAUACGAAACAUAAAUACAAUUGCAUGCAACAAUAUCAUACAGUAACUACCAUAACUAACAGCCAUAGGGGGGACAUAAGAUAAAACACAAAUCAUCUAUGGGUAACCCUGCCGACCCACACCCAACCCCGGAUGAGGCGUACGAAAAACACUAGGAGCCCCUAUCCGACAACCC
rnacentral:lncRNA from 1 species